rnacentral:rRNA from 1 species
UACGUAGGGGGCAAGCGUUGUCCGGAUUUAUUGGGCGUAAAGAGCGUGUAGGCGGCUAUACAGGUCCGCUGUGAAAACUCGAGGCUCAACCUCGAGACGUCGGUGGAAACCGUAUGGCUAGAGUCCGGAAGAGGAGAGUGGAAUUCCUGGUGUAGUGGUGAAAUGCGCAGAUAUCAGGAAGAACACCUAUGGCGAAGGCAGCUCUCUGGGACGGUACUGACGCUGAGACGCGAAAAGCGUGGGGAGCGAACAGG